rnacentral:rRNA from 1 species
GGAUGCGAUAAUACCAGCACUAAAGCACCGGAUCCCAUCAGAACUCCGAAGUUAAGCGUGCUUGGGCGAGAGUAGUACUAGGAUGGGUGACCUCCUGGGAAGUCCUCGUGUUGCAUUCC